CCUCAUGAGGCUUCAUCUCACCAUCACUACUGAAAAGAAACACACCAGAAAAAUACCAAGCAGCUGCCAUGUGGUGACCUUCAUCAGUGACAAGGUGUGUCAGGGGUAAUAUAGAAGCCAACCUCCCGGGUUAUGGUACUGGAUGCAGCGAUGUGGGUGUUAAUUGAGCUCCCUAUAAAAGCAGUUGGAGUUACACCUGCAGUGGAGAAAGGUGAGGCUGUGUUACUGCUUACACAUGGUUUCUGUUUGAGAGUUAAUGAGGUGUUUUCUUGCCGGGUUUCAACCUCUGGAAGGAAGACGGAGAGAAAGAAAAUGAGUUUUGGGGGGUGCUCACAUCUGGACGUUUCUCCUCCGCCUACCGAAGGCCUUGGCGCCGACGUUGGUGGGGACGAAGUUGCUGUUGCCCAUCCCCCCCGAUCGGCUGAGGAAGUCCGCCAGGCGGAGCAGCUUGUGAGCAGUACAUCUGGCAAAUGACCAGGGCGUAGGCAACGAGGAAAGCAGAGAUCUUCAACAUAACCAUGGUCCCCUGCACGGCGAGAAAGACAACCACCACAUCAGCCCCAUGUGCACAGAAACAGCUGCCACUCACUCCUACUCACACAUCCCUGAAAUAAAUACUCAAGAUCCUGACAAAAACUUCUGAGAGUCUAGAGUCGAUACAGCAACCUUUGAAGCCACAGCAGAAGUCAACACAGUCACUGUGGCGUAAGUUAUUAGUGGAGGCACGACGACUGCAGCUUUUAUAGUGAUAUUGGAAGAAGACAUGUUCUGCUAUAUGUCAUCUUAAUGGCUCAGCUCUGGUGGGCCAAUUUAGGGAAAUGUACACCUGUAGAAAAGACGCACACACAUGUGAAUAGUGCUCAUGUUAAUGGAUGUACAUGUCUGCUGUGCAAUAUGUCAAUAUAAUGACCCAGCUCGUUCAGGAGAUGAUGUAUGAACACGCUUCAGCCCGUGCACAAACACAGUGGUAUCAGUGCAAAGGCUCAAAAGCAAGGCAAUAUGUCAACUUAGUUUAUAAAGGAUGUUUGUGGUGAAGUGUAAUAUAUUUUAAAAACAUGUAGGAAGUCAUGGGAGAGCUUUUAAAGGAGGGCAGCAAAACAAAGGAUAUAUUUGUCCAGGGAAGAUCCUCUUAGAUUUAUAACGUCACUUAAGGUCUAUAUGAUCAACUACUUUAUCUACAGAGAGUCUUUGGACUUCCCAGCACUUUACCAGACAAGCUGUGUGUUGCAUGGUGAUGUCUUAUAGCUACAAUAUCACACCUCAAGUCCUUUUAAGUCUCAGGUGACCCAGCUAGACAAGUUUUCUGUGCUUAAAACUUAAACUUCAAACUUACCUUUUUAAUCUAGCUUUUAAUUUUGAGUAAUUUAUUUUCCGCCCUGGA